GUUAUUUUGGCAGAUUAGUGCAUUAGAUUUAGAAUCUUUAUAAGUAAGUUUAAAUUUACAAAUAAUA
rnacentral:tRNA from 1 species